UACGUCUGGUUUCAGGGUUGUUUAUAUCUACUACAGUGUAGCUUGUGGCACUGUUUGUCGAACGGCACUUGCUUUUAGCGAUUCCCGUUCUAGAUCAGAAUAUAUUGCAACAUGUACGUUAGCUGGCUAGUUUGCUAACGUGCACUGAAUGACAGCAAACUCGUUGUUGCUGCUGAAUCGUUUACCGACUAUAAAACGUUUUGGCAGUGGCUAGUAUGACAACGGUGUUUCUGUUAUUUGCAAUGCAACCUGAGCUCAGGCGUGACUACCCGCUGAACUUAAGCAUAUCAUUUAGCGGAGGAAAAGAAACUAAA
rnacentral:rRNA from 1 species